GAUGAACGCUGGCGGCGUGCCUAAUACAUGCAAGUCGAGCGAACAGACGAGGAGCUUGCUCCUUUGACGUUAGCGGCGGACGGGUGAGUAACACGUAGGUAACCUACCUAUAAGACUGGGAUAACUUCGGGAAACCGGAGCUAAUACCGGAUAAUAUUUCGAACCGCAUGGUUCGAUAGUGAAAGAUGGCUUUGCUAUCACUUAUAGAUGGACCUGCGCCGUAUUAGCUAGUUGGUAAGGUAACGGCUUACCAAGGCAACGAUACGUAGCCGACCUGAGAGGGUGAUCGGCCACACUGGAACUGAGACACGGUCCAGACUCCUACGGGAGGCAGCAGUAGGGAAUCUUCCGCAAUGGGCGAAAGCCUGACGGAGCAACGCCGCGUGAGUGAUGAAGGUCUUCGGAUCGUAAAACUCUGUUAUUAGGGAAGAACAAACGUGUAAGUAACUGUGCACGCCUUGACGGUACCUAAUCAGAAAGCCACGGCUAACUACGUG
rnacentral:rRNA from 1 species